CAGCCCGGAGCCUUCGCAAGAGGGUGGGCUUAAAACGGCUUCCGUGCGCAAGUCCCGAUUAAAACAAAAAAAAAAUUAAAUAGCCAAAUGACUCGUCAUCUAAUUAGUGACGCGCAUGAAUGGAUUAACAAGAUUCCCGCUGUCCCUAUCUACUAUUUAACGAAACCACAGCCAAGGGAACGGGCUUGGAAAAAUCAGCGGGGAAAGAAGACCCUCUUGAGCUUGACUCUAGUCUUCACUCUGUGAAGAGACAUGAGAGGUGUAGCAUAAGUGGGAGGCCGUUAACCCUCGUGGUUGUGUCACGCCGACAGUGAAAAACCACUACUUUCAUCGUUUCUUUACAUACUCGGUGAAGCGGAAAGCGGACCAUGAGUGUCCACGCUUCUAGCACUAAGUGCAAGGCCCUUCGCUGGCCCGCACGAUCUGUUCCGAGGACAGUGUAAGGCGGGGAGUUUGAUUGGGGCGGUAGCCGACAAGUACGCUAAGGUCAACAAGUACGUGAAAUUCCGUGAAGUUGGAAGUGGGCCAAAGAUGUCCAGGUGGACGUUCUUAAAGCGUGAGGAUGGUAGGGGAAACUUUCCGAGUGGUGUUUGCGUGUGGCGUUGCACCUUCGACUUCUGGCAGGCUAUACAAGAGCGAACGAAGUCCCGAGCAAGCGGGCAGGCAUUCCUUCGAAGUGACUGAGCUUGGCAAAACGACGGCGCGUAAAAAUGAAAGAAACUAUACGUUCUGGAUAGUUUUGCAAUAAAAAAAAACACAAUUUUUUUUUUUUUAGGAAAGGGUGUGUGUGUGUGUGGGGGGGGGGGGGGGGGUCACUUAUAGCGUCGUUCGAAAAAAAGAAAACCUAGCUCGGACGAAGCUCAAGAUCUCUACGCACAACAUCUUCACCGUGGCGGGUACCCCCCUCCGAACAUCGGAAGUCACCACACUGUGGCGCUACUUCGGGGUCACCUUCUCGCCACAAGGAACCAAAAACACGGGGCUCCGCGCCCAGCUGCAGGAGCUGUUGACACGAGUAAGCAAGGCCCCCCCUUCGCCCCCAGCAGAGGCUGGUGAUACUGCGGUUCCACCUCCUGCCGCGCCUCUACCAUCGGCUGGUUCUGGGGCCCUGGACCAACGACCUGCUGUGAAAGAUGGAUGUCUCCAUCAGGGGCUCGGUGCGGCGCUAGUUGGACCUCCCUCACGACACUCCCCUGGGCUUCUUCCAUGCCCCGGUUGCUGAGGGGGGCCUCGGGAUCACGUCACUACGAGCCUCCAUACCCUCCAUGCUGAUCUAGCGCCUGGGGAACCUGUCCCUCAGCGGCCACCCAGGCUGUGAGGCAG
rnacentral:ncRNA from 1 species